AUACGGAGGGUGCAAGCGUUAUUCGGAAUCACUGGGCGUAAAGGACGCGUAGGCGGGUUGGCAAGUCAGAUGUGAAAUCCUACAGCUUAACUGUAGAACUGCAUUUGAAACUGCUAACCUAGAGUAUGGGAGGGGGAGAUGGAAUUAGUGGUGUAGGGGUAAAAUCCGUAGAUAUCACUAGGAAUACCGAAAGCGAAGGCGAUCUCCUGGAACAUAACUGACGCUAAGGCGUGAAAGCGUGGGGAGCAAACAGGAUUAGAAACACUAGUAGUCC
rnacentral:rRNA from 1 species